UACGGAAUGUGCAAACGUUAUUCGGAAUCACUGGGCUUAAAGAGUCCGUAGGCGGCUUGUUAGGUGAGGUGUGAAAUCCCUCGGCCCAACCGAGGAAUUGCGCUUCAAACCGGCAAGCUAGAGGAGGAUAGAGGUGGGCGGAACUGAUGGUGGAGCGGUGAAAUGCGUUGAUAUCAUCAGGAACACCGGAGGCGAAGGCGGGUCUCUGGGCCGAUACUGACGCUGAGGAGCGAAAGCGUGGGGAGCAAACAGG
rnacentral:rRNA from 1 species